rnacentral:rRNA from 1 species
UACGGGGGGGGCAAGCGUUGUUCGGAAUUACUGGGCGUAAAGGGCUCGUAGGCGGCCAACUAAGUCAGACGUGAAAUCCCUCGGCUUAACCGGGGAACUGCGUCUGAUACUGGAUGGCUUGAGAUUGGGAGAGGGAUGCGGAAUUCCAGGUGUAGCGGUGAAAUGCGUAGAUAUCGUUUGGAACGCCAAUGGUGAAAACAGGUUGCUGGGAGUGUGCUGACGCUGAGACACGAAAGCCAGGGGAGCAAACGGG